rnacentral:tRNA from 1 species
GCACCCGUAGCUCAAUUGGAUAGAGCACCAGACUACGGAUCUGGCGGUUGGGGGUUCGAAUCCUCCCGGGUGCGCAA